UCUCAUUUAUUUAGAAAUGAACAAAUCCAGCGUGCAGUGAGUUUGCAGUAUUUUACUGCGUGAGCUGUCAACUGUAGGCGGUGGGUCAGUCUGGGCAAGAGAAUAACAAGCGAUGCACUUGCCACCAUCACUACGUGAUAGGCUUUCUUGUUGUGGGGCCUCAACUGCCUUUGGAGCUGGGUGGGACAUUUUUCAAUGGCUAGAAAAAUCCAGAGGGUUUUGUUUCGGGGUAUGUCCAGUUUUCGGGGCCCUGCACUACACGCAUUGCUUCUGUGAGCCCAGGCAGGGUGUGCAGCACCCUCCACUGAUUGAUGCUCAAGGGAAGGCCAAGCAGGCAGAUGACGUGGCAAGGACAGAGAGCAGCCUGUUGCAAAAGCACAUCAUUUCUUGGGGCUUCCUGCUCCCCUUUUUGCUGCUUUCUCUUCUGAAUCCAGCUUUCUCUGGUAUAUAUUUGUGCUUAUUUCCUGUGUAUGCUUUUUUUCCAGCCAUAAUCCCCUUUCUGAGGAAGAACAUGUAUUCCUUCCAGUCAGAGCUAUUGUUGGAAGGGCCAAGGUCCGGGUUCUUGCUUAUGACUGGCAAGCACAGGCCACAACCUCAGGGUGCACCCGAGUUCUCCAUGUGUAACCUACCAUGUGCUGUUGUUGAAGUCUUGCAACUGCUUGCUUAGGCUCUGUCCAUGUUUGCUUUAUAUGAAAUAUAUUUUUGAAAUGUUCUUAAACCGUCUUAUUUCUAGACUUCUGAAACAGCAACAGGAAGCACAACUGUCCAAGCAGAUUGUUAUGGGUACCAGCCCUGGGUGAUUGGAGUAGCCGCAGGGAUACCCAGCUUCCUGGCCUUGGUCCUUGCAGUCAUCUUGGCAGUGGUCUGUGUUCUCCAGUGGUCAAACUUCAGCUGGAAGCAGACAAGUGGGUAUCCUGAGAUACAGGAAGAACAUGAAUAUGAGCGAUCCCCUCCCAGACCUCCAGAUGACUUUUAUCUGACCAUGAUGGAGGAGACAACAAACGUCUACGUAAAUGAAGAUCAAGAAAAACACUUCAGACCAGACAUCCAAGCACAGGCAAAGCCCCCAAGGAUGAAUAAGCCCAGAAGAGACCCACCUGUGAUGGAAUACAUUUAUGAAAAUCAUCCUCCCUUUCACUGAGAGAAAAGCACCAAAUAGUGGCUGGAACCAGAAACAGCAGACACAAUCCUUUUCCUGGACACUAGGGGCUACACAGCUGCAUUUCAUGAACAAGAGUUUUCUCUUUAAGCAUACAGGAAAUUCUAGAGAAUAGGACAAACAAAGAGACUGCAUGGGGAAAGAACCUGU